UAAUGAUGGUCUAAUGAAGCAUCAGUUACAGACAUAUGUCAGACGAAUUUCUUCGGGCGCAAAUCUCUUAUGGAAAUUGGUCAUCAGCGUAUCUGAUCCCCGUCAGAAUAAUAAUAAUAAUAAACUCUUUGCAUUGUUUUCUUGAUGUCUUUCCUUUGUUAUCUAAGUUCUGAUUUCUCCGACUCUCCUAGAGUAUCAUGACAAAGAACAAAAAUAAAUAUAUACUUUUUGAUUUGUAUCAACUUGGGAUUUAUA